rnacentral:rRNA from 1 species
UUUAUGGAGAGUUUGAUCCUGGCUCAGGAUGAACGCUGGCGGCGUGCCUAAUACAUGCAAGUCGAGCGAACGGACGAGAAGCUUGCUUCUCUGAUGUUAGCGGCGGACGGGUGAGUAACACGUGGAUAACCUACCUAUAAGACUGGGAUAACUUCGGG